rnacentral:rRNA from 1 species
UACGUAGGGGGCUAGCGUUGUCCGGAAUCAUUGGGCGUAAAGCGCGUGUAGGCGGUCCGGUAAGUCCGCUGUGAAAGUCGGGGGCUCAACCCUCGAAUGCCGGUGGAUACUGUCGGGCUAGAGUACGGAAGAGGCGAGUGGAAUUCCUGGUGUAGCGGUGAAAAUGCGCAGAUAUCAGGAGGAAUACCGGUGGCGAAAGCGACUCUCUGGACGGCAACUGACGCUGAGGCACGAAAGCUAGGGGAGCGAACAGG